rnacentral:rRNA from 1 species
AACGCGCUGAGUAAUACAUCGUGAACGUACCUUAUCGUGGGGGAUAACGCAGCGAAAGUUGCGCUAACUACCGCAUACGCCCUGAGGGGGAAAGCGGGGGACCGUAAGGCCUCGCGCGAUUAGAGCGGCCGAUGUCUGAUUAGCUUGUUGGUGAGGUAAAAGCUCACCAAGGCGAUGAUCAGUAGCUGGUCUGAGAGGACGAUCAUCCACACUGGGACUGAGACACGGCCCAGACUCCUACGGGAGGCAGCAGUGGGGAAUUUUGGACAAUGGGGGCAACCCUGAUCCAGCAAUGCCU